rnacentral:rRNA from 1 species
CCUACGGGUGGCAGCAGUGGGGAAUAUUGGGCAAUGGGCGCAAGCCUGACCCAGCAACGCCGCGUGCAGGAAGAAGGCUCUCGGGUUUUAAACUUCUUUUCUCAGGGACGAAGUAAGUGACGGUACCUGAGGAAUAAGCCACUGCUAACUACGUGCCAGCAGCCGCGGUAAUACGUAGGUGGCAAGCGUUAUCCGGAUUUAUUGGGUGUAAAGGGUGUGUAGGCGGGAGCGUAAGUCAGAUGUGAAAACUCAGGGCUCAACACCGAGCGUGCAUUUGAUACUGUGUGACUUGAGUGCUGGUGCGGCAAGCGGAAUGUCGGGUGUAGCGGUGAAAUGCGUAGAGAUA